rnacentral:lncRNA from 1 species
CCAAGAGUCAUUUUAACAGCCCUGCAGGACAGUCUGAUGCCUGCACAAGUGUGAGCACAGUGAGAAGCUCUGCUAUGAACAGAACCUUGAGUCCUGCCUCCUCAGGCUCUUGGCGGCUCCAGAGACAUCAAGUCCAGACUUCCAUCUCCUGAGGACUGAUCAUGCAAGACUGAAUUCCGCAGCUAUGGGCAGAUAUUCUCCUUUGGUUCUGGGAUAAGGUACAGAAAGGUUAUGCAUGCCUGGUAAGUAGCUUUGGUAGACAGAUGUAGGAGUGCAGGCUUUGUAACAAAGGACAGCU